rnacentral:rRNA from 1 species
AUGGCAGCGCUGUUGAAACUCUUCGUGGGGGAUUACAGGGGUUUCGGUAGACUAAAUAAAGCUCACUUGGUGCUGAUCCCUAAGAAGACCGGUGCCAUUGAGGUGGGAGAUUACAGGCCGAUUAGUCUCCCACAUAGCUUCUCCAAGUUGUUCGCCAAACUGCUCGCA